CAGUCGCCGCGGUAAUACGUAGGGUGCGAGCGUUAAUCGGAAUUACUGGGCGUAAAGCGUGCGCAGGCGGCUUUGUAAGACAGGCGUGAAAUCCCCGGGCUCAACCUGGGAAUGGCGCUUGUGACUGCAAAGCUAGAGUGCGGCAGAGGGGGAUGGAAUUCCGCGUGUAGCAGUGAAAUGCGUAGAUAUGCGGAGGAACACCGAUGGCGAAGGCAAUCCCCUGGGCCUGCACUGACGCUCAUGCACGAAAGCGUGGGGAGCAAACAGGAUUAGAUACCCCGUGUAGUCCCUGUCUCUUAUC
rnacentral:rRNA from 1 species